AGAGUUUGAUCAUGGCUCAGAUUGAACGCUGGCGGCAUGCUUUACACAUGCAAGUCGAACGCGAAAGGGGGCAACCCUGAGUAGAGUGGCGCACGGGUGAGUAAUGCAUCGGAACGUGUCCUGUAGCGGGGGAUAACUUAGCGAAAGCUAGGCUAAUACCGCAUACGUCCUACGGGAGAAAGUGAGGGACCGCAAGGCCUCACACUAUAGGAGCGGCCGAUGCCGGAUUAGCUAGUUGGUGGGGUAAAGGCUCACCAAGGCGACGAUCCGUAGCUGGUCUGAGAGGAUGAUCAGCCACACUGGGACUGAGACACGGCCCAGACUCCUACGGGAGGCAGCAGUGGGGAAUUUUGGACAAUGGGGGCAACCCUGAUCCAGCCAUGCCGCGUGAGUGAAGAAGGCCUUCGGGUUGUAAAGCUCUUUCGGCCGGGACGAAAUCGCAUGGGUUAAUAGCUCGUGUGGAUGACGGUACCGGAAGAAGAAGCACCGGCUAACUACGUGCCAGCAGCCGCGGUAAUACGUAGGGUGCGAGCGUUAAUCGGAAUUACUGGGCGUAAAGCGUGCGCAGGCGGUUUCGAAAGUCCGAUGUGAAAUCCCCGGGCUUAACCUGGGAACUGCGUUGGAAACUACGAGGCUAGAGUGCGGCAGAGGGGGGUGGAAUUCCAGGUGUAGCAGUGAAAUGCGUAGAUAUCUGGAGGAACACCGAUGGCGAAGGCAGCCCCCUGGGUUAGCACUGACGCUCAUACACGAAAGCGUGGGGAGCAAACAGGAUUAGAUACCCUAGUAGUCC
rnacentral:rRNA from 1 species